GGGGGACUAAAGCCCACAGAGACCACCCCUAGGAUUUAAUUAAUAUGGAAAAUUCCCCUUGAACACACUCCCUCUACCAGUGCAGAUCUCCACCUGUCCCACAAUUCAUAGCCUGGGAGAGUUGCCUGGACCACCAAGAGGUGAAGUGAUUCGCCUCGGGUUAUAGCCCGUUCAUGUCCCAGCAUUCCCGACUCUAAAGCCCAAUCUGGAUCCUCUCCACCAAGCUGGCUCUCAGAGUUUCUGGAAAGGAAAAUCUGAUUUUUGCCCGGAGUGUUUUAUUCUCACUUGGAACUUUUAAGCUUACGCGUACAUUCUGUUACCAAGUUGAGAUCUCGAGCAGUUUGCUAAUUGCCUUGGAGCCCUGCCUUUGCGAUUGCAGCUGGCCUACUUACUGGUCGGAAGCUCGGGUUUGGUGGAACUUUGGUUUGUCUUAAUGACCGUCCCUGGAAAUGAAACCAGAGAGUCCUAGUAGUGACCCAGAGUGAUAAAUUGGGUGCCGGAGACAUAAUCCCCGAGUACGGAGCUUUCUGCUUCUACUUUGAAGUCCACACAGGAGUGACUGGCUAGUGUGAAUGGACACCACUGCCCUCCAGUGGAUGAAAUCUCAGAGCGGCGCAAGAGGGGGUUCAGAGUCUCCACGUGGGAAGAACACAAUGCUAUGGACCUCACACAUUUCUGAGCCUUCUUUCCCAGGGCAAUCCUGUGUGAUUUGGAGAGCUUGACUGAAUCUGAGAUCAGCUAACCCAACCCUCGCAUUUCACAGAUGAAGAAACUGAGACCCAUACAGGGCAACUGACUCACUUAAAGCACACAAGUACCAAGUUGCAGAAGCAGGAUCUGAAUUCAGAUCUUUGGAAUCAAAGUGCAGUGAUCUUUACACUACACCGGGCAGGCUGCCCCAUCAAGUCAGAUAUCAGCCUGGGGACCUGGAGGAAACUGAUGGAAGGGAAUGCUCUGCUGCCACUUGAAAUACGGGUGAGGAACAUAACGUUCUCAAAGGCCAGGCCAGGCCAGGGAAAGAUUGUAAAGGAGGUGGCUGAGCUACCUUUUUCAAGCAGCUUGCAGCUAUCCUCUCAAGCUCAUGCUGACAAAUGCCUUAGUUCCAACUUUCCAGCCUCAACCCCCUCACACCGAGCCCUCCUCACCGCAUCACCCUGCGUCUGACAUUGAACUCCUGACACCCCGCGCCCGAGAAGACUGCCAAAAAUCACUCUCGCUAUUCUUCUUCAUCCUCACUAACAAUUUGGUAAUGAAGUAUUGAUUUCCAC
rnacentral:lncRNA from 1 species